rnacentral:lncRNA from 1 species
AAGUUCUUGAAUCAAUGCAGGGAAAAGCGAUUUCACUAAGGAAAAACACACUCAAUCCAACUAGGGAAGAAAUAAACUUCAACACAGGAGGAGCAGAAAUUCAUUAUCCACUACCUGCUACUGGGUAAGGAGAUAAUAAAAGUCUGACAGAGAGGACAUCCGUCAUCGGUUAGGAUGAACAUAUCAAGGAUGACUCGCUGGGAACCAACAGGAGGGAAU